rnacentral:rRNA from 1 species
UACGAAGGUCCCAAGCGUUAUCCGGAUUUAUUGGGUUUAAAGGGUGCGUAGGCGGCUUAUUAAGUCAGUGGUGAAAGCUCCAUGCUUAACAUGGAAUUGCCAUUGAUACUGAUGAGCUUGAGUAGAUUUGAAGUGGGCGGAAUGUGUCGUGUAGCGGUGAAAUGCUUAGAUAUGACACAGAACACCGAUUGCGUAGGCAGCUCACUAAACUCUUACUGACGACUGAGGCACG